GGGUGAUUAGCUCAGUGGUAGAGCAUCUGCCUUACAAGCAGAGGGUCACUGGUUCAAAUCCAGUAUCGCCCA
rnacentral:tRNA from 1 species